rnacentral:rRNA from 1 species
UACGGAAGAUGCGAGCGUUAUCCGGAUUUAUUGGGUUUAAAGGGUGCGUAGGCGGUGGCGUAAGUCAGCCGUGAAAUGUCGGGGCCCAACCCCGGCCCGCGGUUGAAACUGCGUUACUUGAAUGCGUGCGAGGCGGGUGGAAUUCGUGGUGUAGCGGUGAAAUGCUUAGAUAUCACGAAGAACUCCGAUUGCGAAGGCAGCCCGCCAGUGCGUGAUUGACGCUGAGGCACGAAAGUGCGGGGAUC